rnacentral:rRNA from 1 species
GUGGGGAAUUUUGCGCAAUGGGCGAAAGCCUGACGCAGCAACGCCGCGUGGAGGAUGAAGGUCUUCGGAUCGUAAACUCCUGUCAGGGGGGACGAAAGCCUUAACGGGUUUGACUGUACCCCCUGAGGAAGCCACGGCUAACUCCGUGCCAGCAGCCGCGGUAAUACGGAGGUGGCAAGCGUUGUUCGGAAUUACUGGGCGUAAAGGGCGCGUAGGCGGCAUUGCAAGUCAGAUGUGAAAGCCCCGGGCUUAACUCGGGAACUGCAUCUGAAACUGCUUUGCUUGAGUCCUGGAGGGGGUAGUGGAAUUCCCAGUGUAGCGGUGAAAUGCGUAGAUAUUGGGAGGAACACCUGCGGCGAAGGCGGCUACCUGGACAGUGACUGACGCUGAUGCGCGAAAGCUAGGGUAGCAAACGGGAUUAGAUACCCCAGUAGUCC